GAGGCAGAUAGACCCCAUUUGUGAUGCACAAAAUCACGUAAGACUGCAGAAGGAGAAAGCGUUGUGUGUCUGGAGAUACAUCAACCCCAUCAAAGGAAGAGGUGUGUUUGCAUUGGAGCCCAUUCAUAAAGGUUCAUUCGUUUUGGAGUACAGAGGAGUUUUGAAGACGACUGAUAAGACUACAGCGUGGAAUGAGUAUACAUACGUCUUCAAACACAAAGGAACGGAACAUUGCAUUGAUGCUUCAAGUGAAGAUGGGACACUUGGCAGACUCGUGAAUGAUGCUGAAAAACCAAAUGCAAAAAUGAAAAAAUAGAGGUGGAUGGUGUACCCAGUCUGUGUUUGUUUGCCAUUGUUGACAUUGAGGAAGGGCAAGAAAUAACCUAUGACUACGGAGGAGAAAACCUGCCAUGGCGUUCUUCCCAAAGGCAUCAAAUAUCCAAGCCUAUGGCUCCAAGUACAGUAGAGAAACCUGUUCUCCAC